AUUGAACGCUGGCGGCAGGCUUAACACAUGCAAGUCGAGCGGGGUGAUGGUGCUUGCACUAUCACUUAGCGGCGGACGGGUGAGUAAUGCUUAGGAAUCUGCCUAUUAGUGGGGGACAACAUCUCGAAAGGGAUGCUAAUACCGCAUACGUCCUACGGGAGAAAGCAGGGGAUCACUUGUGACCUUGCGCUAAUAGAUGAGCCUAAGUCGGAUUAGCUAGUUGGUGGGGUAAAGGCCUACCAAGGCGACGAUCUGUAGCUGGUCUGAGAGGAUGAGCCGCCAAACUGGGACUGAUACACGGCCCAGACUCCUACGGGAGGCAGCAGUGGGGAAUAUUGGACAAUGGGGGGAACCCUGAUCUAGCCAUGCCGCGUGUGUGAAGAAGGCCUUAUGGUUGUAAAGCACUUUAAGCGAGGAGGAGGCUCUUUUGGUUAAUACCCAAGAUGAGUGGACGUUACUCGCAGAAUAAGCGCCGGCUAACUCUGUGCCAGCCGCCGCGGUAA
rnacentral:rRNA from 1 species